AUGACGGAGGUGACGGAACUGAUGGAGAUGACGGAAGUGACGGAACUGACGGAGGUGACGGAACUGACGGAAGUGAUGGAACUGACGGAGGUGACGGAAAUGACGGAGGUGACGGAACUGAUGGAGAUGACGGAAGUGACGGAACUGACGGAGGUGACGGAACUGACGGAGGUGACGGAACUGACGGAGGUGACGGAGGUGACGGAACUGACGGAGGUGACGGAACUGACGGAGGUGACGGAACUCACGGAGGUGACGGAACUGACGGAGGUGACGGAACUGACGGAACUGACGGAGGUGACGGAACUGACGGAGAUGACGGAACUGACGGAGAUGACGGAGGUGACGGAACUGACGGAACUGACGGAGGUGACGGAACUGACGGAGGUGACGGAACUGACGGAGGUGACGGAAGUGACAGAACUGACGGAACUGACGGAGGUGACGGAACUGACGGAACUGACGGAGGUGACGGAACUGACGGAAGUGACGGAACUGACGGAGGUGACGGAAAUGACGGAGGUGACGGAACUGAUGGAGGUGACGGAAGUGACGGAACUGACGGAGGUGACGGAGGUGACGGAACUGACGGAGGUGACGGAACUGACGGAGGUGACGGAACUGACGGAGGUGACAGGUGACGGAACUGACGGAACUGACGGAACUGACGGAGGUGACGGAGGUGACGGAACUGACAGAGGUGACGGAGGUGACAACUCAAAACAGACAUUUAUUUGUCGAUUAAAACAACAAAAAAGUUCAAUACAAAAAUGUGUAAAAUUAUUUUGUUUGAAAAAUCCCUCAAUAACAUGAUCAGAUCAAUAACAUGAUCAGAUCUUUCAGAUUUUCUGACAGAGUUGAUGUUGUACUAAUUGCAUAUUUUUUACUAAUUUAGUCAAGUGGUAUACUACGUAGCAAUUUUGUUUUUUGCUCAAUUGCUUUUUUUGGCUCUAAAACCUAAUUAAAUUUAACAUAUUCUACAUUAAUUUUAUACCUUUAUUUAACUAGGCAAGUCAGUUAAGAACAAAUUCUUAUUUUCAAUGACGGCCUAAGAACUGCAGUUUCAGGGGCAGAACGACAGCUCAGGGAUUUGAACUUUGCAACCUUCCGGUUACUAGUCCAACGCUCUAACCACUAGGCUACCCUGCCGCCCCAUCUAUAAUCUAUAAGGUAGAUGGAGUUGACUGGUUGUGACCAUGGGGGGGGGAUCAAUAAUAUUUGUUUAAUGUAGCUGCCCAUUCUCGUUCCUGAAUAAUUUGAGUUGACCAAAACUCCAAACAGUUCUGAGAUAAAUAUUCCUUGACGUCAGAGAAGGGACAUGAUAUCCUACUUCAGUUAAUAUCCAUUAUUCUCAGUUUGUUGGAAAUGGAAAUUAAUAAUAUUGAAAAUAUUUAGGAAAAUUACCCUGAAUAAAAAUAUUUUUCCUCAUAAAAUUCCCCUAAAUGUAAUUUUUUUAGCCUAGUGGUUAGAGCGUUGGACUAGUAACCAGAAGGUUGCAAGUUCAAACCCACGAGCUGACAAGGUACAAAUCUGUUGUUCUGCCCCUGAACAGGCAGUUAACCCACUGUUCCUAGGCCGGCAUUGAAAAUACUAGUUAAAUAAAGGUUAACUAAAAAAAAAUGUUUAAAAAAAUAAAUAAUAGAUUGUCCUGACUUUCAAGAAUCCCUGAAUGACAUUCUGAGUGUAUCUAAGGGUCAGGGGACAGGCUAGAAGAGACGUGUCUAAGGGUCAGGGGACAGGCUAGAAGAGAAGUGUCUAAGGGUCAGGGGACAGGCUAGAAGAGAAGUGUCUAAGGGUCAGGGGACAGGCUAGAAGAGAAGUGUCUAAGGGUCAGGGGACAGGCUAGAAGAGACGUGUCUAAGGGUCAGGGGUCAGUUUGGGACAGGGUGCCUCUCUCUCUCUUGUGCUUCUGUGACUUUAUUCUUCUAUUUCCAUCGGAUGAGACAACAACAACAGCAAAAAGGUUCCAGUUUCUCGUGGAAUGCCGCUCUAUACUGAACGUAACGUAGUGUGUUCAUCUUCUCUCUCUCUCCUUCCAAAUCAUGUUUUACUGGAAGUUGAAAUAACAUUAUAGAGAUCAUUUUACAUAGGAAGUUAAAAAAUGCCUAAACGUUACUAAAUGUCCUGUAAAAUAUGUAAUGGUUGUUAUUAUUAUUAUUAGUUGUUGAUUAUUGGCAUCAGAAGUCGGAAGGGAGUCGGUACAAUUAUAGAAAUAGGAUGACUAGAACGGAGGUGCCAUUCAAGUCGAUGGGUCCAAGAGGUGGACUGGCGGCCAUGAUUCUAUUUCUAUGGGAACAAUGUAUCUGUAUUGUAAGCUUCUGUUCUAUCCUUCCUGUUUCCAUGGAUUCCCCCUUCCUGUUCCCCUCCUUCCUGUUUCCUGUUCCCCCCCACAAAAAAAACUUUCUUUGCACUUCCAUUUUGUUUUGCAUAUUGUAAAUAUCUCUGUACAUUAUUUAUUCGCAGUCUUUAUGUAAUAAUGGUGAAUGACAGUUUAAAAGUGACAAUCAUCUUUUAUGGGUUUGUUGAUUUGAUUAUGUUGUUGUUGCUGUUGUUUUUUUUGUCAUUAUUGUACGAUGGAUAAAUUACACUGUAAAAAGCAUAUAAAUGUAUCUGCAGUAUAAAAAAACAAAAGAUUG
ensembl:lncRNA